rnacentral:rRNA from 1 species
GACAGAAGGGACGAGUGUUAUUCAUAUUUACUGGGCGUCAAGGGUAUGUAGGCGGUCUUUGAUGUUUUGCACUAAAAUCUAUGGAUGAUCCCAUAAGCCGGUGCUUUUUACACAAAAGACUUGAGUUUGGUUAAGGUUCGGAGUACUCUCUGUGUAGUAAUAAAAUGCGAAAAUAUAGAGAUGACUGCCAAUGAUAAAGAUACCGUUCUUAGCUUAACUGACGCUGAGGUACGGAAGUAUGGGUAUCGAACGGG